rnacentral:lncRNA from 1 species
GACAUUACUUUGCCAACAAAGGUCCAUCUAGUCAAGGCUAUGGUUUUUCCAGUGGUCAUGUAUGGAUGUGAGAGUUGGACUGUGAAGAAGGCUGAGCUCCGAAGAAUUGAUGCUUUUGAACUGUGGUGUUGGAGAAGACUCUUGAGAGUCCCUUGGACUGCAAGGAGAUCCAACCAGUUCAUUCUAAAGGAGAUCAGUCCUGGGUGUUCUUUGGAAGGACUGAUGCUAAAGCUGAAACUCCAAUACUUUGGCCACCUCACGCGAAGAGUUGACUCACUGGAAAAGACUGUAAUGCUGGGAGGGAUUGGGGGCAGGAGGAAAAGUGGAUGACAGAGGAUGAGAUGGCUGGAUUGGCAUCACCGACUUGAUGGAUGUGAGUUUGAGUGAACUCCGGGAAUUGGUGAUGGACAGGGAGGCAUGGCAUGCUGCGAUUCAUGGGGUUGCAAAGAGUCGGACGACUGAGCAAUUGAACUGAACUGAUUGGGGGGGAAUAAGUAGCUUAAUAGGGGCUCAGGUAUGUCCCUGGUGGUUCAGUGAUUCAGAGUCUGGCCUUCUACAGCAGGGGGCACAGGUUGGAUAUCUGAUCCUAGAACUAAGAUAGGGAACUAAGAUCAGAAAAAGGGACCCCUCCCCGCCGCCCCCCCCCCCCCCGCCACACACACACACGAAAGAGCUCAAAGCAAGCGAGAGGACAGGAAGGAGAGGAUGGGAUGCUGGAAGCAGCUUGGAGCAGGGGAAAAGGGAAGAGCUCUGGGGCAGGGUGGGGACAGCCCACGGAGAACCUUUCAGAGCCCUGGGGACUGUUCGAAGUGCGCGGAGAAGGCAGGAGUUUCGGAGCUUGAACUAACUUGCUGCGGAGGGAGGCGCCGCGAGCCGCAGCCAUUCAGGUUUCAGUGCCAGCCCAAACCUUGGCCACAGCUGUGUUGCGUCCUCUUAGUGAUCGGCUCCUGGUCCCCCGGCUCCGCCCCCAGCACCCGGAGCCAGGACCCCGGAAGUGCGCGUUGGCGGCCCUGGCGAAGAAGAGAAGAGAGGGAGGGUGGCCACCUUGAUCCAGCUAAAGCAUCUCCAGGAGGCCUUCUCUGGAUGUCACAUCGAGGCUGCCCUUCUGCCACAACACGGAACUGGUGA